CGUGUGCCGCUGGGUGGCCCUGCGAGCCGCCGCUCUCCGCCUCUCUAGGCUCAGCUUCCAUCACCGCGUGGCGGAGCCCGUGUCCGGGCCAGGGUGGCUUGUGUGGUAGAGCCAGGGGAAUGGAGAAGAUGACCUCUGAAGCCUGAAGGCUCUUUGGGAAGCAGGACACAAACAUCCUGAAGAGCCAGCCUUGAGCUGGCUGCACAAGAGACUCAUAGACUUUGCGUCAACAUCCACCUCUCCAGGCUGCAGUGGGUGUACCUGUUCACCACCACCUCCAGCAGCACUGUCGCAGCGGAGCAGUUCUUACAGCCAAUGAGCUUCCACACCACCUCCCUGCAGUUCUCUGCAACCGAGGCUCCAUCCUGCACUGAUGGGCUGCCUGACACGUCGGCCUCAACAAGCAUUUCCAGCACAUUCUCAGCUUUCCUGCUCUGCUGGGCAAAACACAGGGUGAGAAGGGGAGAGGAAGAACGGGACUGUGGCCCAGUUCUAGGCUUGGAGUCUAGCGAGGAACACCAGGUGCCUGCAUUAAAAGUAUUUCUGCCUGUCACUUAUUAUCUGGUUGAGCUGGUGGCGGGAGUCCCGGCCCAUGUGUGUUACCAGAGGGAUGGUCUAGAGAAUGAAUCCAUCUGUCAGAGGCAUCCAAGAAGAAAGGCCUGGGCCAGGAUCACAUGGAAGACCCUGAAGACAGGAUCGGGUCUUGCCUGCCUGGAUUGAACAGAGACGCAGUGACCAGUCCCAUCUGCUCCCACCCUGCUGCCCUCUGAAUCGAGAGUUUGAGGCCAUGACCAGGGUAACGUUCAGCUGGUAGAGACAACACAACCCUGCUGGCUGUUUAAGCCAUGCUGGAGUGGUGCUCACAGGGUAACAAUUGUAAGUAUUUUGAAUAUCACCUCUUAAUCAAAAUUAAGAUCAAUAGACA
rnacentral:lncRNA from 1 species